UCUUAUUUUAAUAUAUUUAAACCAAAAAUAAAUUAUGAUUUAGUUGAAAAAUAUGUAUUCUAAUAUAAUUAAAAAAGAAAAUUGAACCAAUCUAAUUUUUAUACAUUAAAUAACAUUAAAUUGACAUAACAACAUGAUUUUAUUUAAACAUCAUAUUAGGUUUAAUUUUUAUACAUCUUAUAACAUAAAGAAGAGCUCCACUCUCUUUUCCUCCUGCCACGUCAGUAAAUGAGGUGAGGGGACGCUGACACGUGUUGUCUAUUUUGUUUGUGCAGGCUUCUGUUUUGUUGGGCCAUGUCUUUCUACGUCGAGUCCAUUGCGUGCUUUAACCAAUUCAACGUGAUGAAACGCCGCGUUUUUCAUUUGGGUAUGCGAGACAUCAUACUCGCAUCUCCAAAGCUAAUGGGGACUUCGGUUGAGCAGCCGAUUUUCGUCUCCUUCUUCGCGAUGUCAGUAACCGAUUUAUCAUCUUUAAGCACUCAAUUAAUUGAUCACCCACGAUCAAGAUUUAAUACGAGAUUUUUCUUAUGCAAGGCGGUGGAGUUCGACAAUAAAAAGGUAUGAUUUCCUAUCUUCAGAAACAUCAUCUCAUUCAUGGUGUAUCUACAUACUUCCACGGCGUCUCACAUACUCCCAAUCUCCACUUCCCAAACCACUCCCUCCGCCGCUCCUUCUUCCGUCGAAUCUCAACCACCCAUCGCAAUCCCUUAAUUCCCGUCUUCAUCAACCGAGUCUCAGAAACUGUCACGAUCGGAUCUUUGUGCUUUUCCUCACCGAUGUUUGAUCUGUUUUUGUCUCGGCUGUGAUGGUCGGAGUCGUGUUGAUCUGUGCUCACCUAGCGUUUAGGGCUCCGAAAGAUCUUUUCUUGGAUGAGGAAGAGAAAGAUCUUUCCUUUCGUUUAUUUUUAAGUUUAAGAUUCAGGAAAUAUCAUUUUUGUUAAAUUUUAUUUGAUUCCUCGAUUGGUGAUUUAAGCUGUGGAUUGAAUCUAGGGUUAGCGUUCCUUUAAAAUUUUGGAUUCUUUAGAUAGUUUUUCAUUAUACUCCAAUUAAAUCCUCCUUAGACCUCUCAUUGUUCUUAUUCAUUACCAAAACUGAGUUUCCCUCUCUUUUGCUACUUAGGUAAUAACUUUGAUGGCUACACGCUUAUAUCUGUUUGUUAAGUGUUAGUGUGAGUCGUCUGUUGAUUGAUUGUUAAUUAAUAAAAGCAAUUGAACUUGAUAACCUUCACGCCAAACAACUAAAAUGGUUCUGUUUUUUUUUCUUACAGGUUAAAAAUUAAUUUUUAAACAAAUUUUUGACGUUUGCAAGAGCUCAACCUGAAGCAUGCAAGACGGAUAUGUUAUUGCAGAGAGGAUAUGACUGUUCACUACAGGUUUGAAUGUCAGGAUAAUCUUGACAAGGGUUUUGAGACCAACACACCUUUCUCUUGGAUCACAUCCAGUUUCAAGGAGGAUGCUUAGUCUGGUGCUACAACUCAGUCUACUCUUUCUCAUGAAUCUGCUGAGUCGGAUUCCCUUUGAAGACAAGUAUCUUAUCCACUCAUGGGCCCUAGGUUGUGUAAUUUUUAAUAGGUGAUCUGUACAUCAUCAUACCGUGUCGUUUAAUUAAAACAUAACAAAGUUUACUGCCUCUUUGUUUGCGUUUGUUUUUGGCCUUCACCUUAUAUGCAUGAGCUCUUCACAUAUUCAUGAUAUUUGUUUAGUUAUGUACAGAUCUUUACUCUUUUGGUGUUAUUGAGUCCUUCAAAUAUUUA